UUACGACCAUAUCAUGUUGAAAACGUGGUUCACGUACGAUCACCGAAGUUAAGCAACGUCGAGCCUGGUCAGUACCUAGAUGGGUGACCGCUUGGGAAUACCAGGUGCUGUAA